rnacentral:rRNA from 1 species
AGCUCUGUAAGCGUAUACCAAAGUUGUUGCAGUUAAAACGCUCGUAGUCGGAUUUUGGCGUGGUGCUUAUUAGAUGCCCAGUUAUCUGGUGUGUCGAUUUAUAGUCCCGCCUUUGCGGAGGGGGGCGUGGUGUUUCUUAAUUGAAUUGCUGCGUUUCCGCCGCUGUUUACUGUGAAAAAAUUAGAGUGUUCAAAGCGAGCGAUUGCCAUAUGAAUAGAUUAGCAUGGAAUAAUAGAAUAGGACCUGGUUCUGUUUUAUUGGUUUGUCGGUUUCAGGUAAUGAUUAAGAGGGACGGUCGGGGGCAUUUGUAUUCCAGGGUUAGAGGUGAAAUUCUUAGAUCCUUGGAAGACAAACAGCUGCGAAAGCGUCUGCCAAGGACGUUUUCA